UCCUGAGGUAUCCUAAUGUUGCCAGAAGUUGGUCUGAAACCUCACUCAGCUCUCACAGUUGACUGCGAGAUGGUUUACCUCAUCAAAGAAAACUGAAUUAGCCCAUUCCUGAAAGUGAAGUUGGCUCUCUGCUGGACGCGCCUCCCCCUGCUCACCUCGCUGAACCCAGCCCCAGCACGGACAGUGAGACCUGUGCUCUGCUGCCCAUUUGCCAAGGAGCUGCUUACUAGAUCGACUCAUGUGUUCAUGAACUGACUGGCUUCUGUAUGCCAGGUAUAGGAGUUUAAAAGCCAGAAAGAUUUCCUACAGGAGAAAAUGGAAAUGAAGAGGAGAGGAACUCUGGUGUCCCCAGUGUGUCAUGUGGCCCCGUGGCCCGGAAGUACAUCCUGCUCUGGUCCAGCUCUGCAUAGCAGGCUUCCAAGGGGCCGCUGCGGUGCUGCCUCAGCAUCCUGCUUAGCAUGUCCACCUCAUCAGCCAGGAGAGAGAGCUUGUGGAAGGCCAUGAUGGAGCCCCCGAGGUUGAUCUGGACCUCAGGGACCCAGCGGAAGUAGCACAGUUUCCACAAUUUUAUGUGUGUUCCGGAGAGACGUGGCAGGAUAAUGCCGUGUAGGUUGGCUGGUCUGGAGAACCACUCUUUAAAAUACUGUUCGGCUCCACUGUGCUGGCUGUCGGAGUGCUGAGG
ensembl:antisense Gm20457 predicted gene 20457